rnacentral:rRNA from 1 species
CCUACGGGGGGCAGCAGUGAGGAAUAUUGGUCAAUGGGCGGGAGCCUGAACCAGCCAUGCAGCGUGAAGGCGAGUGCCCUACGGGCGUUAAACUUCUUUUUUUCGGGAGCUAUAAUGACCACGUUUGGCCCGAUGAGAGUACCGCACGAAUAAGCAUCGGCUAACUCCGUUCCAACAGCCGCGGUCAUAAGGGGGAUUCGAGCGUUAUCCGGAUUUUUUGGGUUUAAAAGGUGCGUAGGCGGCCCUUCAGGUCAGCGGUGAAAUUCCGGGGCUCAACCCCGGGGCUGCCGUUGAAACCGGAGCGCUAGAAUUCCGAUGCCGUCGGAGGAAUGUGUGGUGUAGCGGUGAAAUGCAUAGAUAUCACACAGAACACCGAUUGCGAAGGCAUCUGACGAAUCGGAGAUUGACGCUGAUGCACGAAAGCGUGGGUAUCGAACAGGAUUAGAUACCCGGGUAGUC